GCAUAUCAAUAAGCGGAGGAAAAGAAACCAACAGGGAUUGCCCCAGUAACGGCGAGUGAAGCGGCAACAGCUCAAAUUUGAAAUCUGGCCUAGGCCCGAGUUGUAAUUUGCAGAGGAUGCUUCGGGCGCGGUGCCUUCUGAGUUCCCUGGAACGGGACGCCAUAGAGGGUGAGAGCCCCGUACGGUUGGACACCUAGCCUGUGUGAAGCUCCUUCGACGAGUCGAGUAGUUUGGGAAUGCUGCUCAAAAUGGGAGGUAUAUCUCUUCUAAAGCUAAAUACCGGCCAGAGACCGAUAGCGCACAAGUAGAGUGAUCGAAAGAUGAAAAGCACCUUGAAAAGGGGGUUAAACAGCACGUGAAAUUGUUGAAAGGGAAGGGCCCAUGACCAGACUUGUGCCCGGCGGAUCACCCAGCGUUCUCGCUGGGGCACUCCGCCGGGUCCAGGCCAGCAUCGGUUCUCGCCGGGGGAUAAAGGCUCUGGGAACGUAGCUCCUCCGGGAGUGUUAUAGCCCUCUGCGUAAUACCCUGGCGGGGACCGAGGUACGCGCUCCGCAAGGAUGCUGGCGUAAUGGUCAUCAGCCACCCGUCUUGAAACACGGACC
rnacentral:rRNA from 1 species